CCUACGGGAGGCAGCAGUGAGGAAUAUUGGUCAAUGGCCGAGAGGCUGAACCAGCCAAGUCGCGUGAGGGAAGACGGCCCUACGGGUUGUAAACCUCUUUUGUCGGGGAGCAAAGCGAGUCACGUGUGACUCAUUGAGAGUACCCGAAGAAAAAGCAUCGGCUAACUCCGUGCAAGCAGCCGCGGUAAUACGGAGGAUGCGAGCGUUAUCCGGAUUUAUUGGGUUUAAAGGGUGCGCAGGCGGAGGUGCAAGUCAGCGGUCAAAUUGCGGGGCUCAACCCCGUACUGCCGUUGAAACUGCAUCCCUUGAGUGUGCGAGAAGUAUGCGGAAUGCGUGGUGUAGCGGUGAAAUGCAUAGAUAUCACGCAGAACUCCGAUUGCGAAGGCGGCAAUCUGGCUGGAAACUGACGCUGAGGUGCGAAAGCGUGGGUAGCAAACAGGAUUAGAUACCCCGGUAGUC
rnacentral:rRNA from 1 species